GAUGAAGAACGUAGUGAAAUGCGAUAAGUAAUGCGAAUUGCAGAAUUCAGUGAAUCAUCGAAUCUUUGAACGCACAUUGCGCCCCCUGGUAUUCCGGGGGGCAUGCCUGUCCGAGCGUCAUUACAACCCUCAAGCUCAGCUUGGUGUUGGGCCCCGCCGCCCCGGCGGGCCCUAAAGUCAGUGGCGGUGCCGUCCGGCUCCGAGCGUAGUAAUUCUUCUCGCUCUGGAGGUCCGGUCGUGUGCUCGCCAGCAACCCCCAAUUUUUUUCAGGUUGACCUCGGAUCAGGUAGGGAUACCCGCUGAACUUAAGCAUAUCAAUAAGCGGAGGA
rnacentral:misc_RNA from 1 species